UGAACGCUAGCGACAGGCUUAACACAUGCAAGUCGAGGGGCAGCACAGGUAGCAAUACCGGGUGGCGACCGGCGCACGGGUGAGUAACGCGUAUGCAACUUGCCUAUCAGAGGGGGAUAACCCGGCGAAAGUCGGACUAAUACCGCAUGAAGCAGGGAUCCCGCAUGGGAAUAUUUGCUAAAGAUUCAUCGCUGAUAGAUAGGCAUGCGUUCCAUUAGGCAGUUGGCGGGGUAACGGCCCACCAAACCGACGACGGAUAGGGGUUCUGAGAGGAAGGUCCCCCACAUUGGUACUGAGACACGGACCAAACUCCUACGGGAGGCAGCAGUGAGGAAUAUUGGUCAAUGGCCGAGAGGCUGAACCAGCCAAGUCGCGUGAGGGAUGAAGGUUCUAUGGAUCGUAAACCUCUUUUAUAAGGGAAUAAAGUGCGGGACGUGUCCCGUUUUGUAUGUACCUUAUGAAUAAGGAUCGGCUAACUCCGUGCCAGCAGCCGCGGUAAUACGGAGGAUCCGAGCGUUAUCCGGAUUUAUUGGGUUUAAAGGGUGCGUAGGCGGCCUUUUAAGUCAGCGGUGAAAGUCUGUGGCUCAACCAUAGAAUUGCCGUUGAAACUGGGGGGCUUGAGUAUGUUUGAGGCAGGCGGAAUGCGUGGUGUAGCGGUGAAAUGCAUAGAUAUCACGCAGAACCCCGAUUGCGAAGGCAGCCUGCCAAGCCAUUACUGACGCUGAUGCACGAAAGCGUGGGGAUCAAACAGGAUUAGAUACCCUGGUAGUCCACGCAGUAAACGAUGAUCACUAGCUGUUUGCGAUACACUGUAAGCGGCACAGCGAAAGCGUUAAGUGAUCCACCUGGGGAGUACGCCGGCAACGGUGAAACUCAAAGGAAUUGACGGGGGCCCGCACAAGCGGAGGAACAUGUGGUUUAAUUCGAUGAUACGCGAGGAACCUUACCCGGGCUUGAACGCAUUCGGACCGAGGUGGAAACACCUUUUCUAGCAAUAGCCGUUUGCGAGGUGCUGCAUGGUUGUCGUCAGCUCGUGCCGUGAAGUGUCGGCUUAAGUGCCAUAACGAGCGCAACCCUUGCCACUAGUUACUAACAGGUAAAGCUGAGGACUCUGGUGGGACUGCCAGCGUAAGCUGCGAGGAAGGCGGGGAUGACGUCAAAUCAGCACGGCCCUUACAUCCGGGGCGACACACGUGUUACAAUGGCGUGGACAAAGGGAGGCCACCUGGCGACAGGGAGCGAAUCCCCAAACCACGUCUCAGUUCGGAUCGGAGUCUGCAACCCGACUCCGUGAAGCUGGAUUCGCUAGUAAUCGCGCAUCAGCCAUGGCGCGGUGAAUACGUUCCCGGGCCUUGUACACACCGCCCGUCAAGCCAUGGGAGCCGGGGGUACCUGAAGUCCGUAACCGAAAGGAUCGGCCUAGGGUAAAACUGGUGACUGGGGCUAAG
rnacentral:rRNA from 1 species